UACGUAGGGUGCGAGCGUUAAUCGGAAUUACUGGGCGUAAAGUGUGCGCAGGCGGCCGAGCAAGUCGAGUGUGAAAGCCCCGGGCUUAACCUGGGAACUGCGCUCGAAACUACUUGGCUGGAGUGUGGCAGAGGGAGGUGGAAUUCCACGUGUAGCGGUGAAAUGCGUAGAGAUGUGGAGGAACACCGAUGGCGAAGGCAGCCUCCUGGGCCAACACUGACGCUCAUGCACGAAAGCGUGGGGAGCGAACAGG
rnacentral:rRNA from 1 species